UUCCUGGAAUGUUUGAGGAUUUUGUUUUAGUGGAUGGAGAAUUUUGAGAGAUGACAAUAACAAAUAUACAUGUAACUGUGGUGCAGAUAUGGUUUCUGCAGGCUGUGGUGCAGAUAUACAUGUAACUGUUAAAAUUGAAAGUGCAGACUGCACACCACAUCUGCAUUCUAUCAUUUCUGCAUCUGAUGGGGUAGUCAACUUAAUCAUUCCAUUGCCAAUCUUAAAAAAUGUUGUUAAGUUUAACUUGUUGAUUACCAAACCCAUUAUAUAGAGGCAUGUAAGCUCUAGUUCUGCCUAUGCCUACAUUUAAAACCUUUAGAAGGAGCAUAUAUGAGCUUGGAAAGCCACAUAAUUCCUAUAAAUGCUGAAGUAUAUGCCUUAAGUUUCUCACUGUAUUCUCGAAAUGAAUUCCUUUUAACAUGCUUUGUGCUUGCAUUGGAAGAAGGAUAUGUUUCUAUUUUAUUUAUCAUGCAUUGGAAGAAGGAUAAGUUUCUCACAUUUAGCAAGCUUCAUAUUUGUACAGUUUUUUUUUCAGUAUGGAAACUGAAAGCUGUACACGAUGGACUGUGUUAAGUUGUACAGUGGAGAAUAUACAGCCAUUUUAAACUGCCAAAAUUUCAGUGUCCAUAACUUCUUGGAAAACUACUGUUUUGUAUUUAUGAUUUCCUUUCAAGUUGAUGUUAUGCAUUGUGAAGCUAAUUAUACUGAUGUAGCUUAUACCCAUUAUAUCUCACAAUAACAACAAAGUGGGUUGUUUAAAGGGGAUAUUCUCACAGAUCGCUUUUUCCGAAUCCUCAUGGUAAACUUUUUCCGUGUUUUUAUUAUGUUAAGAGUUUUCCUUCUCUUUGUACCGAUAAUUUCAGGAAAUUUUUGUAGCAAAUUGUUUGGCCACUGACAUGAUUAAUCCAAGCACAUUGUCCCUACAAACGCCACAACAAGUCCAACAUCUCUCAUUUGUUGUUAUUGAUAUGUAUGCAAAGCUUGUGGUUUUAGUUAUUAAGGUAGAGAUCUUUUUUUUUUCUUCUUCUAACUGAGCUUCAUGCAAUGAAUGGAAACUAAUUUGAUGAAUGUUUCCAUCAUAGUUUGGGUAUCUAUGAACAGUUUGGGUUUCCAUCAUAAUUUGACUAACAAUGCAUGUUAUGAAAAAAUGCAAUCUGGUGUGGAGCUAGUACUCCUUUUAGAUGGUAAGCAAUGGAAUGUUCAAAUGCUUUCUCCUCUUUGUUAAACAGACUUGAUGACUGUUCAGUUAUCUGAUAUCCUCAAUGAUCACCACCUAUUAUCCACUCUAUGAACUACAAACAUGGUAUUAAAUGGUAAUGGGACUAGCAAAUUGGUGAUAUUUUUGGGAUCCAUGACAAGCUUGAAAGUUAUUCAUGUCCACUGUAAAGUAAAUGAGUCAAUGUCUUGCUUACUUGUAAAUAUGUAGUUUUCACUUUCAGGUUGUUGAAAUCAUUGACCGGUAUGAGACAGAGUGCAUUCCAAAGAGCUCAAGAGGCAAUAAGCUUGCAUUUAUACAGGACCCGAAAAUGGACAAAACCUACACCAGGACAAUAACAGACAUGUUUCCGAGGGGGCAAAACCCAAAGGCAUGGGAGCUCCGAAGAAGGCUCCUGCUAGAAAGGUGUGCUUGCAAAUCCUGAAACUUCUUAUUUCCCAAGUAUCUCCCUGUUUUUGUGGACUUCUCAUUGCCUUUUUGUUUUAGGUCUUUCAACAAAAAAUGCCGACUGUCGUUGAUAGUGAAGAGGAAGAUAAUGAGAUGCUCGAGCUGAAAGAACGACUGGCAGCGUAUAACAUUGAUUCUCCUUCAGAUCAAACAGGUAUAUGAUCAUCCAUGUGCAGUAAGCUUUCGGAUCAAAGCGAAGCUGAGAAUAGGGUGUUAGUUGAUGACAAAUUGAUAACCAGUAGAUGCACAUCCAUGGAAUUUUCGCUUGCGAUUGUUGAAAAGCUAUUUGGCUGCGAGAAGGCAUUGGAUCUUGCUGUUAAUGAGAACUUUAAAUAGACAUAUAACUAUUAUGUUGGCCUUGUACUUUUGUGAAUGGAAAUGAAUGAUUAUGUUUGAUUGAAUGAAUGAAUGAUUUAGCCAUGAAAUAUUUAUCUAUAUUAGCUUAUAUAAGUUAUCAGGGUGUACUACAAUGGUAAGAGCUGCAAUUACUAUUUAAAUUUUUUAUUAACAAUAGGCAUUAGCU